rnacentral:rRNA from 1 species
UACAGAGGGUGCGAGCGUUAAUCGGAAUUACUGGGCGUAAAGCGCACGUAGGUGGCGACGUAAGUCGGGUGUGAAAGCCCCGGGCUCAACCUGGGAAUUGCAUUCGAGACUGCAUUGCUGGAGUACGGAAGAGGAAGGCGGAAUUCCCGGUGUAGCGGUGAAAUGCUUAGAUAUCGUCAAGAACACCUAUAGCGAAGGCAGCUUACUAGGCUGUAACUGACGCUGAGGCACGAAAGUGUGGGGAUCAAACAGG